rnacentral:rRNA from 1 species
AACGUAGGAGGCGAGCGUUAUCCGGAGUUACUGGGCGUAAAGCGCGUGUAGGUGGUUGGAUACGUCUGCUGUGAAAUGUCCCGGCUUAACCGGGAGGGUGCGGCAGAUACGGUCUGACUUGAGGGUGACAGAGGAGCGUAGAAUUCCGGGUGUAGUGGUGAAAUGCGUAGAGAUGUGGAGGAAUACCGAUGGCGAAGGCAGCCCCCUGGGAUAACACUGACGCUCAUGCACGAAAGCGUGGGGAGCAAACAGG